rnacentral:rRNA from 1 species
UGGGGAAUAUUGCACAAUGGAGGGAACUCUGAUGCAGCGACGCCGCGUGAGUGAUGAAGGACUUCGUUUCGUAAAACUCUGUUCUAUGGGAAGAAAAGGACUGUACCAUAGGAGAAAGCUCCGGCUAAAUACGUGCCAGCAGCCGCGGUAAUACGUAUGGAGCGAGCGUUGUCCGGAAUUAUUGGGCGUAAAGGGUGCGCAGGCGGCUUUACAAGUUGGAUGUGAAAUAUUGUGGCUCAACCACAAACGUGCAUCCAAAACUGCAAAGCUUGAGUUAAGGAGAGGUAAGUGGAAUUCCUGGUGUAGCGGUGAAAUGCGUAGAUAUCAGGAGGAAUACCGGUGGCGAAGGCGACUUACUGGACUUAAACUGACGCUCAGGCACGAAAGCGUGGGGAGCAAACAGG